rnacentral:rRNA from 1 species
AGGAUUCCGUUAAAAGUUAAAAUCUUCAUGUGGUAUCUUCAUAGAGGAUUUGUGCUAACCAAAGACAACCUUGCACGCCGCAACUGGCCAGGAAAUAUGAAGUGUUGUUUCUGAACUCAUGCCGAGACAAUCAAACACCUAUUUUUUCAAUGCAAGUUUGCAUGUUCUACAUGGUCAGUCAUCCAAAUAGCGACAAGUUUGUAUCUGCCCACCCACAAGUGUCGCCCAUAUUUUGGUCACUGA